rnacentral:rRNA from 1 species
GAUGAACGCUAGCGGCAGGCUUAACACAUGCAAGUCGAGGGGUAUUGGUUUUCGGACCAAGAGACCGGCGCACGGGUGCGUAACGCGUAUGCAAUCUACCUUUUGCAGAGGGAUAGCCCAGAGAAAUUUGGAUUAAUACCUCAUAGUAUAGUACUUUGGCAUCAAGGAACUAUUAAAGUCACAACGGCAAAAGAUGAGCAUGCGUCCCAUUAGCUAGUUGGUAAGGUAACGGCUUACCAAGGCUACGAUGGGUAGGGUCCUGAGAGGGAGAUCCCCCANACUGGUACUGAGACACGGACCAGACUCCUACGGGAGGCAGCAGUGAGGAAUAUUGGACAAUGGGCGCAAGCCUGAUCCAGCCAUGCCGCGUGCAGGAUGACGGUCCUAUGGAUUGUAAACUGGCUUUUAUACAGGAGAAACACUCCGACGUGUCGGAG